rnacentral:rRNA from 1 species
CAGCCGCCGCGGUAAUACGUAGGUGGCAAGCGUUGUCCGGAAUUAUUGGGCGUAAAGGGCUCGCAGGCGGUUUCUUAAGUCUGAUGUGAAAGCCCCCGGCUCAACCGGGGAGGGUCAUUGGAAACUGGGAAACUUGAGUGCAGAAGAGGAGAGUGGAAUUCCACGUGUAGCGGUGAAAUGCGUAGAGAUGUGGAGGAACACCAGUGGCGAAGGCGACUCUCUGGUCUGUAACUGACGCUGAGGAGCGAAAGCGUGGGGAGCGAACGGGAUUAGAUACCCCCGUAGUCCCUGUCUCUUAUAA